CUCUGGGGCCAUCUUCCAGUGCAGUGUUGGAUCGUGUAAUCGUGAAGCUUCUAACACUGUCUGGUAAAGAUGCCCCCCGGG
rnacentral:pre_miRNA from 1 species